UACGUAGGGGGCUAGCGUUGUCCGGAUUUAUUGGGCGUAAAGAGCGUGUAGGCGGCCAGAUAGGUCUGCUGUGAAAACUCGAGGCUCAACCUCGAGAUGUCGGCGGAAACCAUUUGGCUAGAGUCCGGAAGAGGAAAGUGGAAUUCCCGGUGUAGCAGUGAAAUGCGUAGAGAUCGGGAGGAACAUCAGUUGCGAAGGCGGCUCUCUGGACCAGUACUGACGCUGAGGCACGAAAGCGUGGGGAGCAAACAGG
rnacentral:rRNA from 1 species